rnacentral:rRNA from 1 species
GAGUUUGAUCCUGGCUCAGAACGAACGCUGGCGGCAUGCCUAACACAUGCAAGUCGAACGGGAUCCAGGCUUCGGCCUGGUGAGAGUGGCGGACGGGUGAGUAACGCGUGGGAACCUGCCCAAUGGUCUGGGAUAACCGCGGGAAACUGCGGCUAAUACCGGAUAAGCCCGAGAGGGGAAAGAUUUAUCGCCGAUGGAGGGGCCCGCGUCCGAUUAGGUAGUUGGUGAGGUAACGGCUCACCAAGCCUUCGAUCGGUAGCUGGUCUGAGAGGAUGAUCAGCCACACUGGGACUGAGAUACGGCCCAGACUCCUACGGGAGGCAGCAGUGGGGAAUAUUGGACAAUGGGGGCGAACCCUCGAUCCAGCAAUGCCGCCGUGAGUGAUGAAGGCCUUAGGGUUGUAAAGCUCUUUUGCCGGGGACGAUGAUGACGGUACCCGGAGAAUAAGCCCCGGCUAACUUCGUGCCAGCAGCCGCUGUAAC